UGAGGUUUAUUUGACAUUGUUCUCCCCAGAC
rnacentral:piRNA from 1 species